CAACAGGGAUUGCCCUAGUAACGGCGAGUGAAGCGGCAACAGCUCAAAUUUGAAAUCUGGCCUUCGGGUCCGAGUUGUAAUUUGUAGAGGAUGCUUUUGGCGCGGUGCCUUCCGAGUUCUCUGGAACGAGACGCCUUAGAGGGUGAGAGCCCCGUACGGUUGGACACCAAGCCUCUGUAAAGCUCCUUCGACGAGUCGAGUAGUUUGGGAAUGCUGCUCUAAAUGGGAGGUAAAUUUCUUCUAAAGCUAAAUAUUGGCCAGAGACCGAUAGCGCACAAGUAGAGUGAUCGAAAGAUGAAAAGCACUUUGAAAAGAGGGUUAAAUAGCACGUGAAAUUGUUGAAAGGGAAGCGUUUGCGACCAGACCUUUUCCUAGCGGAUCAUCCGGUGUUCUCACCGGUGCACUUCGCUAGGUCGAGGCCAGCAUCGGUUUUCGUAGGGGGAUAAAAGCCUUGGGAACGUAGCUCCUUCGGGAGUGUUAUAGCCCUUGGCACAAUACCCUUACGGGGACCGAGGACCGCGCUUUUUAGCAAGGAUGCUGGCGUAAUGGUCGUCAACGA
rnacentral:rRNA from 2 species